rnacentral:rRNA from 1 species
AACGAACGCUGGCGGCAUGCCUAACACAUGCAAGUCGAACGAGACCUUCGGGUCUAGUGGCGCACGGGUGCGUAACGCGUGGGAACCUGCCCUUAGGUUCGGAAUAACUCCCCGAAAGGGGUGCUAAUACCGGAUAAUGUCUUCGGCCCAAAGAUUUAUCGCCUUUGGAUGGGCCCGCGUUGGAUUAGCUAGUUGGUAGGGUAAAAGCCUACCAAGGCGACGAUCCAUAGCUGGUCUGAGAGGACGAUCAGCCACACUGGGACUGAGACACGGCCCAGACUCCGACGGGAGGCAGCAGUGGGGAAUAUGGGACAAUGGGCGAAAGCCGGAGCCAGCAAUGCCGCGGGAGUGAUGAAGGCCUUAGGGUUGUAAAGCUCUUUUACCCGGGAUGAUAAGGACAGUACCGGGAGAAUAAGCUCCGGCUAACUCCGU